AGAACACACUGAUAGAAAAUCCAAAAGGAAAACGGCGAAAAGAAGGAAGGGUCAGCUGGAUCCAGUGUUGCCGUGGGAUCUUCUGUGAUAAGAGCAUUGACUAAUGGACUUGGCAAUGAGAAAAAUCGCUGGAGAUUUUCUCAAGAUCAACAUUGUGAGGUGGAGGGGACAGAUGGCCAGAGGGAGAGAAAGGUGGAGGACGGAGCAAUGGGAAACGGAUGAAGGGGUCAUCAAAAACAAGGAAAACCUAAAAAACUGGCAGAGCCAAGACAGCCCAAGGCAACAUGAUGACUAAAAGUAAUGUGGGAUCCUGGAAGAGAAAAGGAAUGUCCGUGAACAACUCGAAAAUCUGAAUAAGGAAGCCAGAGAAAGAAAAGUAACGGAAGCCUAGAGCAAGCAGAAAAUGAAUAAAUAACAAAAAAUACAGCAGAAAUCAAUGCAUUUUAAAAAUUAGAAAACAACAGAGAAAAUCAAUGAAACCAAAAAUAGAUUUUUAAAAAAAAUCAAUCAAGUUGAAAACCUCUAGCUAGUCCAACCAAGAAAAUAAGGGAGAAGAUGCAAAUUACUAAUAUCAGAAACGGGAGAGCUCUAUCUCUGCAGGGUCCUGUGAGCGUUAAAAUGGAAUAUGAUGAAGAACUGAUUCCACACCUGCAAAUGUGGUAACUUAAAUACAGUGGACCAAAUCCUUAAGUCUACAAACUAUCAAAAUUCACACAUGGAGAGACAGAGAGCUUGAAUGGCUUUAUAUCCAUAAAUGAAAUUGAAUCAGUCAUUAAUAGCCUUCCAGAAAACGAAGCCUCAGGCCCAGAUGUUUCACUGGUGAAUCCUAUCAACCUUUUAAGGAAGAAAUUAUACCAAUUCUUCACAUUUCUGCCAGAAACUAAAAGCAGACAAAACACUUCCAAACUCAUUCUACAAAGUCAGCAUUACACUAAUAGCAAACCAGUUAAAGACGUUAGAGAAAGGAAAAUUAUACACAAAUCUCACUGAAAAGCACAGAUGCAAAUAAACCUAACAAGAUAUUAGUGAAAAGCAUCCAGCAGUGUGUAAAAUGAAUGAUAGGCCACAGUGAAGUGGGUCUUACUCCAGGCAUGAAUUAUAUUCCUUUUUCAAAGUUCCUCACCACCUUGUUGACUUUCUGAACCUGUUAAUAAUUUGUGGUUUCUAUUGUACACAGCUGUUGUCCCUGUCUUCAGAGGGAUUGAUGGAUCAAUUGAGUUGGCCCGCCAUAACCAGAAGCAGACUCUUUGGUCUGUCUUUAUUCCACUUUGAAUUUCCCAGCAUGUGGCAAAUUACUGGGUACUCAGCAGGGAUUCAUUAAAUAUUAGGAUGAACCUGUAGGCGACAAGCAAAACCAAAGUGUGGAGCCUCCCUACCCGAAAGAAGCACCUGGCAGCGCCAGCCUCAAGCCAGGACCCCCUCGGCACAGCAACACGACCGGCUCCCACCCGCCAGCCUGCAUUUGAGCCUGGCUGAGAGCCGCAGAUAGCCCGCCUUGGUGCAGGCUCACUGCCAUCCGGCAGACGGGGCCUCCAGCAGGCCGCCCAGAGCCCUUGUGGGUGGCGUCCGUGGGUGGAUGAGGAGGCAGGCUCUCCCUCCCAGGCAAUCCCUCCCUGUCCUGAGAUUGGCUCCGGCGACCAUCCCCGGUGCAGGCUGAUGCCUCUGUGUCUUUGCCCGGCUGCCUCUCUUCCUCCUUCAGGAUUCCUCCCCAGCAAUGCAGAAGGGCCCCAUGAGGGCCCACACAGGGCAUCUGCGGUCUGUUGGGCUCAGCCCAGAGCCAGUAGCACCUUGGAAGUCUGUGGUCAAGGUCAGUUCUUCAUUCACCUGCUUGGAAAAGCAGCACUGAGCACCCUCAUGGGGUGCCAGGCCUGGGGCAGCCACUGGGGCACCAGGGAAGCAGCGCCCAUCCCCAGUCUCUGCUCUGGGUCCCUGUAGCAGGUGAUUUGGAAAGUGGGAUGUAUUUGCUAGAGUGAGGGGUCUUUAGCUUAAAGGACGCCUUCCGGGCCCCAUUGUAGAUCCCCAUUCCCCUCAGCCACCGACCACAGUGCCCAGCUUUUGUAUUCCCACUGUUCUCACACACACAAGGCUGAUCUUGUUCACAUGCUUAUUUCUGAGCUUAUUGUCUGUGGUUGCACACACACCCACAUGCAGACACAUGCGCAGACACACGCGCAGACACACGUGCAGACACACAUGCAGACACGCACAGACACACACAUCGCCAGCUACAUUGUGCCGUGAUGCACCCAGGAUAAACCCACUGUCCAGCCCUGCGGUUGUCAUUGGACCAACAAAUUCCACGUCUGAUAAAUAACAUGAAAUGCUGCAGGGUGGACGCCCAAGAUCUGUACCACAGAAUUACUGAUGACAGUGAGAAUUUAAAAAGACCCGAAAUAGCCCGCCAUGGAGGAAUCACUGGCUGCCUUCGGCUGCAUCCACAUCAAAAACACCUUUGUAAAAAGUUGUGCUCACAUCGAAAUAAAUGACGAAACAGAACACAAAAUCUUUAUAUUCAGAGUAUUAUUGUAACGACAAAUACAGGUGUUUAUGACGUUGGCAAUGCUGGGCUGGGACCACAUGGUGCAGCCGUUUGGGGGACAUCUCAGGAGUCGGGUCCCUGCAAUGCUGUCUCAGCUGCACCCCUGACUUGCUGGGGAUUUGGGGAGCCAGGUAGCCUCCCAGAGCCCCCAGGGUGGUGCAUGAAAUAGCAGCAUCUGCCCCAGGGUUGUCCUAGGAGUGAGGAAGACACCAAGUGAGGAAGGCGCCCCACGCAAGGAAAUCAGAGGGAGGCCUGGCGCACGGCGUGCAGUUGGCUCUUUUAUUUUUUAAGACCAAAGAAAAAGUCUAGAAGGAAGACUAUACCCCAAAAAAGUAGAAAUAGUUGUUUUGCUUGAGUAACUAAAUUAGGUAUUAUUUCCUUUUAACUUUUUUCUGUUUUCUGUAACUUGCAUGUUAACACUUUCACAAUUGGAGGGAAAAAUACACCUCUGAGAAAGUGAAGUCAUUCCAGGACAGGCUCACCGAAGUCCUCCAGGGCCAGGCAGCCGCACGGGGAGAAGGCUGGGCUGCAUAGGCAGGGCUGCGGAGCUGAGUGCUCAGAGCCACUCCGGCCUCCUCUUCAGUCUUGUGAGAACCCUUCAGGCCUGGGGCCCCCGGGAGAAGCAAGCACCCCUCCUCUUCAGGUAAAUCCACUUCAAGUCACUUUAUCCCCCUCUCUCUGAGAGCUGAUUGCAGCUGAGAUCGAGCCCUGAGGACGUGCCAGGAUCCUCCAACGCCUUCUAGAACAAACACACCACCCGCUUGGCACUGCCAAACAGCCUCAGAGCCUCAGGGAGGCAGUUGGCUCUGUCGCUCCAGCUCUCUGCAUUUCUUUUGUCUGUUUAAGCCUAAGAAGAUCACCUUCCCCAGACACUGUUCUAAUCACCACUCUUUGGGGCUACUACAGCCCUCCCAGGUGUUGGGCAAACCAUUAUCUUCUUGGGAUCACCCAAUGUGCGGCAUCCUUCCUCCUGCCAUCCUCUAUCUUUGUAGAAUUGGUGACGGGAGCCUGAAAGCCUCCCGGGUCUUCUAGGAGGCUAGGACUGAAGCUCGGUGGCCCAUGCUGCCGUGGAUGACAUUACAAGUGCUGACCUGAAACCUCUGGUGGACCACAGGCAUCCUGGGCAGACGGGGCUGAUAUGUAUGGUUUGGAUGGCCGUCCCCUCCAGAUCACAUGCUGAGAUGUGAUCCCCAGUGUUGGAGGUGGGGCCUGCUGGAAGGUGUUUUGGUCAUGGGGGUGGACCUCUCAUGAAUGGCUUGUAACUGUCCUUCUAGUAGUUAGUGGGUUUUCACGAGAUCUGCUUGUUUACAGUGUGUGGCUUUUCUCCCCCAGCUCUUGUUUCUGACAUGUGAUGUCCCCGCUCCCUCUUUCUUUGCCUUCCACCAUGAUUGUGAGCCUUCCAAGGCCUCCCCGGAAUCAGAGGCCAGCAGGAUGCUUCCUGUACAGCCUGCAGAACCAUGAGCCAAUUAAACCUCUUUCCUUACAAAUUACC
rnacentral:lncRNA from 1 species